AACGAACGCUGGCGGCAGGCUUAACACAUGCAAGUCGAGCGCCCCGCAAGGGGAGCGGCAGACGGGUGAGUAACGCGUGGGAAUCUACCCAUCUCUACGGAAUAACGCAUGGAAACGUGUGCUAAUACCGUAUACGUCCUUCGGGAGAAAGAUUUAUCGGAGAUGGAUGAGCCCGCGUUGGAUUAGCUAGUUGGUGGGGUAAAGGCCUACCAAGGCGACGAUCCAUAGCUGGUCUGAGAGGAUGAUUAGCCACACUGGGACUGAGACACGGCCCAGACUCCUACGGGAGUCAGCAGUGGGGAAUAUUGGACAAUGGGCGCAAGCCUGAUCCAGCCAUGCCGCGUGAGUGAUGAAGGCCCUAGGGUUGUAAAGCUCUUUCACCGGUGAAGAUAAUGACGGUAACCGGAGAAGAAGCCCCGGCUAACUUCGUGCCAGCCGCCGCGGUAACAC
rnacentral:rRNA from 1 species